rnacentral:rRNA from 1 species
GCGCAGCAGGCGAGAAAACUUCACACUGUGCGAAAGCACGAUGAGGGAAUCCCAAGUGCUUGCACGUAAGUGUAAGCUGUUUCUCUGUCUAAAACGCAGAGAGAGUAAGGGCUGGGUAAGACGGGUGCCAGCCGCCGCGGUAAUACCUGCAGCUCAAGUGGUGACCGUUAUUAUUGGGCCUAAAACGUCCGUAGCCGGUUUAAUAAAUGCCUGGGUAAAUUGUGUAGCUUAACUAUACGAAUUCCGGGUAGACUGUUAAACUUGAGACCGGGAGAAGUUAGAGGUACUCCUGGGGUAGAGGUGAAAUUCUGUAAUCCUAGGGGACCACCAGUGGCGAAGGCGUCUAACUAGAACGGGUCUGACGGUGAGGGACGAAGCCCUGGGGCGC